UACGGGGGGAGCAAGCGCUGUUCGGAUUUACUGGGCGUAAAGGGCGCGUAGGCGGCGUGACAAGUCACUUGUGAAAUCUCCGGGCUUAACUCGGAACGGUCAAGUGAUACUGUCGUGCUAGAGUACAGAAGGGGCAACUGGAAUUCUCGGUGUAGCGGUGAAAUGCGUAGAUAUCGAGAGGAACACCUGCGGCGAAGGCGGGUUGCUGGGCUGAUACUGACGCUGAGGCGCGAAAGCCAGGGGAGCGAACGGG
rnacentral:rRNA from 1 species